CUGAAACCGUGUACGUACAAGCAGUGGGAGCCUCUUUAUGGGGUGACUGCGUACCUUUUGUAUAAUGGGUCAGCGACUUAUAUUCUGUAGCAAGGUUAACCGAAUAGGGGAGCCGAAGGGAAACCGAGUCUUAACUGGGCGUUAAGUUGCAGGGUAUAGACCCGAAACCCGGUGAUCUAGCCAUGGGCAGGUUGAAGGUUGGGUAACACUAACUGGAGGACCGAACCGACUAAUGUUGAAAAAUUAGCGGAUGACUUGUGGCUGGGGGUGAAAGGCCAAUCAAACCGGGAGAUAGCUGGUUCUCCCCGAAAGCUAUUUAGGUAGCGCCUCGUGAAUUCAUCUCCGGGGGUAGAGCACUGUUUCGGCAAGGGGGUCAUCCCGACUUACCAACCCGAUGCAAACUGCGAAUACCGGAGAAUGUUAUCACGGGAGACACACGGCGGGUGCUAACGUCCGUCGUGAAGAGGGAAACAACCCAGACCGCCAGCUAAGGUCCCAAAGUCAUGGUUAAGUGGGAAACGAUGUGGGAAGGCCCAGACAGCCAGGAUGUUGGCUUAGAAGCAGCCAUCAUUUAAAGAAAGCGUAAUAGCUCACUGGUCGAGUCGGCCUGCGCGGAAGAUGUAACGGGGCUAAACCAUG
rnacentral:rRNA from 1 species